rnacentral:rRNA from 1 species
GAUGAACGCUGGCGGCGUGCCUAAUACAUGCAAGUCGAGCGAACAGACGAUGAGCUUGCUCCUCUGACGUUAGCGGCGGACGGGUGAGUAACACGUGGAUAACCUACCUAUCAGACUGGGAUAACUUCGGGAAACCGGAGCUAAUACCGGAUAAUAUAUUGAUCCGCAUGGUUCAAUAGUGAAAGACGGUUUUGCUGUCACUUAUAGAUGGAUCCGCGCCGCAUUAGCUAGUUGGUAAGGUAACGGCUUACCAAGGCGACGAUGCGUAGCCGACCUGAGAGGGUGAUCGGCCACACUGGAACUGAGACACGGUCCAGACUCCUACGGGAGGCAGCAGUAGGGAAUCUUCCGCAAUGGGCGAAAGCCUGACGGAGCAACGCCGCGUGAGUGAUGAAGGUCUUCGGAUCGUAAAACUCUGUUAUUAGGGAAGAACAAAUGUGUAAGUAACUAUGCACGUCUUGACGGUACCUAAUCAGAAAGCCACGGCUAACUACGUG